GACGAACGCUGGCGGCGUGCUUAACACAUGCAAGUCGAACGGAAAGGCCCUGCUUUUGUGGGGUGCUCGAGUGGCGAACGGGUGAGUAACACGUGAGUAACCUGCCCUUGACUUUGGGAUAACUUCAGGAAACUGGGGCUAAUACCGGAUAGGAGCUCCUGCUGCAUGGUGGGGGUUGGAAAGUUUCGGCGGUUGGGGAUGGACUCGCGGCUUAUCAGCUUGUUGGUUGGGUAGUGGCUUACCAAGGCUUUGACGGGUAGCCGGCCUGAGAGGGUGACCGGCCACAUUGGGACUGAGAUACGGCACAGACUCCUACGGGAGGCAGCAGUGGGGAAGAUUGCACAAUGGGCGGAAGCCUGAUGCAGCAACGCCGCGUGCGGGAUGACGGCCUUCGGGUUGUAAACCGCUUUCGCCUGUGACGAAGCGUGAGUGACGGUAAUGGGUAAAGAAGCACCGGCUAACUACGUG
rnacentral:rRNA from 1 species